rnacentral:lncRNA from 1 species
CUGUAAUGAGGUCCAGCCAGCUCAUUCUUCACAAGCUCCCCAGAGGAUGCUGACGGUCCAGGAACACUGCUCCCUGACCACCUUCCCAAAAGACCAAAGAAGGAACUGAGACCUCAGUUGGUGAAAUGCCUCCCCCAAAGUGAACACAAUACCCUCGUCUCGAAGCCAUCCUCGAUGUUCACAACUUCCUGAGUGUAAGUCACAAAACAUUAUUUUUCAGCCUGGCAGUGUAUAGAAAUAAGAGCACAAGGCUAGAAGUCGGGAAAC